AAUAACUGAGAACUGUGGAAGUGAAGACACCAAGGCAAAUAUUGGUUUGCAUUGUGUGCACACACACCAACAUGCACACACACACAACAUGCAGACCCUCACACCAACAUGCACACACCCUCACACCAACAUGCACACACGCUCACACCAACGUGCACACACAACAUGCACACACUCUCACACCAACAUGCACGCACACACACCAACAGUACGCACUCUCACAUCAACAUGCACACACGCUCACAUCAACAUGCACACACACCAACAGGCACACACUCUCACACCAACAUGCACACACCCUCACACCAACAUGCACACACACCAACCUGCACACACCCUCACACCAACAUGCACACACGCCAACAUGCAACAUACCAUACACACAACAUGCACACACCCUCACACCAACAUGCACACAUACACACCAGCAUGCACACACCCUCACACCAACAUGCACACACACCACUGUGCACCCAUACCAACAUGCACACAUACACACCAAAAUGCACACACACCAACAUGCACACUCAAACCAACAUGCACACAUACACCAACAUGCACACUCACAUCAACAUGCACACACCCUUACACCAAUAUGCACACAUACACCAACGUGCACUCACGCCAACAUGCACACUCACACCAACAUGCACACACCUUUACACCAAUAUGCACACAUACACCAACAUGCACACUCACACCAACAUGCACACUCACACCAACAGGCACACACACCAACAUGCACACUCACACCAACAUGCACACUCACACCAACAUGCACACACAUGCACAUACAACAUGCACACUCACACCAACAUGCACACACACCAACAUGCACACUCACACCAACAUGCACACUCACACCAACAUGCACACACAACAUGCACACACACCAACAUGCACACACAACAUGCACACUCAACCAACAUGCACACACACCAACAUGCACACAUACAUCAACAUGCACACUCACACCAACAUGCACACAUACACCAUACACACACACACCAAUAUGCACACUCAAAACACUCACACCAAUAUGCACACACUCAUACCAACAGGCACACACACACCAACAUGCACACAUACACACCAAUAUGCACACACUUAUACCAACAUGCAUACACACACCCAACGUGCACACACACA
rnacentral:lncRNA from 1 species